AUGGGGUUUAGUGCAUAUCAAAAGAUAUCGGCGGCAAUGCGGGUACUCGCUUAUGGCAUACCCGCGGAUUAUACCGACGAGUAUCUUCGCAUUUGGCAUGCAUUCUUUGGGUUGCCAGGAACACUCAAUGAUAUCAAUAUCCUCAAUAGAUCUCCUUUGUUCAAAAGAUUAAUUUCUGGGGAUGCUCCAGCUUGCAAUUACAAAAUCAUGGACAAUGAGUACUCAAUGGGAUACUAUCUCACCGAUGGCAUCUAUCCCGAAUGGGCAACUCUUGUGAAGUCCAUCAAGGAGAAAAAUGGGGUGCCCUUAACAAGAAAAGAGGCUCAUUUCACCAAGGCACAAGAGGCAGCCCGCAAAGAUAUUGAGAGAGCUUUCGGUGUUUUGCAAGCAAGGUUUGCCAUAGUUCGUGGUCCAGCUCGGUUUUGGGACAAAAAAACCUUGAUGAACAUCAUG
rnacentral:rRNA from 1 species